AUUCGAAGCAACGCGAAGAACCUUACCAGGUCUUGACAUACUCGUGCUAUUCCUAGAGAUAGGAAGUUCCUUCGGGACACGGGAUAUAGGUGGUGCAUGGUUGUCGUCAGCUCGUGUCGUGAGAUGUUGGGUUAAGUCCCGCAACGAGCGCAACCCCUAUUGUUAGUUGCCAUCAUUAAGUUGGGCACUCUAACGAGACUGCCGGUGAUAAACCGGAGGAAGGUGGGGAUGACGUCAAAUCAUCAUGCCCCUUAUGACCUGGGCUACACACGUGCUACAAUGGAUGGUACAACGAGUCGCGAGACAGUGAUGUUUAGCUAAUCUCUUAAAACCAUUCUCAGUUCGGAUUGUAGGCUGCAACUCGCCUACAUGAAGUCGGAAUCGCUAGUAAUCGCGGAUCAGCACGCCGCGGUGAAUACGUUCCCGGGCCUUGUACACACCGCCCGUCACACCACGGGAGUUGGGAGUACCCGAAGUAGGUUGCCUAACCGCAAGGAGGGCGCUUCCUAAGGUAAGACCGAUGACUGGGGUGAAGUCGUAACAAGGUACCAGUAUC
rnacentral:rRNA from 1 species